rnacentral:rRNA from 1 species
UCCAGACUCCUACGGGAGGCAGCAGUGGGGAAUAUUGGGCAAUGGGCGCAAGCCUGACCCAGCAACGCCGCGUGAAGGAUGAAGGUUUUCGGAUUGUAAACUUCUGUCGCGAGGGACGAAGAAUGACGGUACCUCGUAAGAAAGCCACGGCUAACUACGUGCCAGCAGCCGCGGUAAUACGUAGGUGGCAAGCGUUGUCCGGAUUUACUGGGUGUAAAGGGCGUGUAGCCGGGCUUACAAGUCAGAUGUGAAAUCCGGGGGCUCAACCCCCGAACUGCAUUUGAAACUGUUGGUCUUGAGUAUCGGAGAGGCAGGCGGAAUUCCUAGUGUAGCGGUGAAAUGCGUAGAUAUUAGGAGGAACACCAGUGGCGAAGGCGGCCUGCUGGACGACAACUGACGGUGAGGCGCGAAAGCGUGGGGAGCAAACAGGAUUAGAUACCCGAGUA